rnacentral:tRNA from 1 species
GGGCGUGUGGCUCAGUGGUAGAGCGUCCGCUUUGCAUCCUUGCGAUGAAGCUGCGGAAGGUCCGGGUUUCGAUCACCCGCCCGUCCA